UUCGGACUCCUGACCGUUUUGGGUGGAUGUUCCACAGUCGUGUAGAUGGUCUGUGAGGCUUGUUGUUUCUCUUUCUUUGGGCCGGUUCUCGGCCGAGAGCUCUGCACAUCCCGGUCCUUGGGGAAAAGAGAAAACGAAACUCACCUGGAAAACCUCUCCAACCUGGGCAUAAAUGCUCUUGCAUUCUUCAGGUUCUGCAAAGAGAAAUUGCAGAGGGACUCAAUCCUGAUCAGCACAAUAGAAAACGACUGCACAGACUACAAUCACGAUUAAAACAAUGAGAAUUGACACUCCUAUAAUGAUGCGGCUAUGGAUUCUGUUUCCUGGAAAAAAGAGCAAAAAGGGAAAGGCUCCUUACCUGUGUGGCCGAGCGCAGCCAGGGCCAGGAGGGCCACGAGGAUGAGGGUCUUCAUGGUGAGUCUGGGGUCUUUCUCGGUCUCUCUUCUCUUCCUCUUUGCUUGGUCCCUCUUUGGGAACCCCCUUUAUACUCUCCGGAUGGAGAAAACGACCCAAAGUUGAGGCCAGAGGCUAUUUUGGAGGAGGAGGAACCUGCAAUUGUGGGGCUUGGAAGCAGCAGACCCCCAAUCUCGGCUUGGCCGGGAAAGAACGGUCGGAAAGAAAGACAGGCCUUGUGACGCACGCAUGGGGCGCAAUAAGGGUCCCAAUCAGGGGUUUGGGAAGCCAAAGGCCUCUCCGCCUGCAAUUAGAAGCCGCCCUGGCCUGGCUCGUGAACCUGGCAUUUUGGGCGGAAGGAGAAGCCCGGGACUUGGCCUUCAGACCCGCAUUUAGGGAGCCAUGAAAGCAGGCCUGGCUUGCCAAAGCGGAUCUUUCUCAAAGGACAACAUUUCCCCCCCAAAUUGGGAGCAGAUGCCCAGCAGAAGCCACAAGAGGAGGAGAGGCAAAUACCAGGAAACCAUUCGGGAUCCAUUCUUGGCAUUAAAUAUAUAUACAACAGUUCCUCGUUGUGCAGUAGUCUCACUUAUACAACAUGAACAGGCCGGCAGCAUCUGCUUGUAGUUUGUCUGCGCAAUCUUCUUGCAGAAGCUGAGGACGUGGCCUGUCGUUUUGUCUGCUUCCUUGCAGAGUCUACACUUGGGAUCUGUCGUCAACUUUCUGAUUCUGGCUUUGAUGGCAUUGGGUCUAAUGGCUUCCUCUUGGGAUGCUGUGGCGAAGUCUGGUGGUAUGGGAAAUAAAGUAUUGAGGAAUUGGUGGUAGUUAAGGUCAAGGGUCCCCUGGGCUGAGUGGGUUGCUAGGCUACCAAGUGGGUGGAGCUUAGCCUUCUAAGUGGCAGCAAUUGGAUAAAAACUAUUAUUCCUCUCCCUGUAAUUAGGACUUUAUUUUUUCUUUUCUUUUUGUUGUAUCAACCUAGAGGCGUGAAUGAUGGGUUGUGUUGUCAAAUUUCGAGGUUGGGGGGCCUGUAGUUUUGUCCGCUGCCCUGAUGCCAUCACUCUUUUAUAUAUAUAGAUAUCGAUAUAGAUUAUUACAGUAGAGUCUCACUAAUCCAAGCCUCACUUAUCCAAGCCUCUGGAUAAUCCAAGCCAUUUUGGUAGUCAAUGUUUUCAAUAUAUCGUGAUAUUUUGGUGCUAAAUUCGUAAAUACAGUAAUUACAACAUAACAUGACUGCGUAUUGAACUACCUUUUCUGUCCAAUUUGUUGCAUAACAUGAUGUUUUGGUGCUUAAUUUGUAAAAUCAUAACCUAAUUUGAUGUUUAAUAGGCUUCUCCUUAAUCCCUUAAUAGGCUUUCAUGGCCGGGAUCACAGGGUUGUUGUGUGUCUUUCGGGCUGUGUGGCCAUGUUCCAGAAGCAUUCUCUCCUGACGUUUCGCCCACAUCUAUGGCAGGCAUCCUCAGAGGUUGUGAGGUCUCUUGGAAACUCGGCAAGGGAGGUUUUAUAUAUACAGUAGAGUCUCACUUAUCCAAGCCUCGCUUAUCCAAGCUUCUGGAUUAUCCAAGCCAUUUUUGUAGUCAAUGUUUUCAAUAUAUCGUGAUAUUUUGGUACUAAAUUCGUAAAUACAGUAAUUACAACAUAACAUGACUGCCUAUUGAACUACUUUUU